rnacentral:rRNA from 1 species
CACACGACUCUCGGCAACGGAUAUCUCGGCUCUCGCAUCGAUGAAGAACGUAGCAAAAUGCGAUACCUGGUGUGAAUUGCAGAAUCCCGCGAACCAUCGAGUUUUUGAACGCAAGUUGCGCCCGAGGCCUUCUGGUUGAGGGCACGCCUGCCUGGGCGUCACGCC